rnacentral:lncRNA from 1 species
CAUUUCACUUUUUUUUUUCACGGCAGGUAUUAACAAGGAUAUCAUUUAAUAAAGAUACAGCUAGCAAAACAAUUGGUUGGAACAAAAUCUAGCAAAAAUCAUAAACAUGCCAUUAAAAAGAUAAAAACUGCACUCGGGUGUAGAGUCAGAUAACUUACAAACAGUGUUGGAACGGCAGCGGCAACAAGGCAUGUAAAUGCUAUAGAAGUCUGCAAGCAAUCAAAGUAAGCCAUAUUUUCAGUAAUCAAAAAGCUAAUUUCACUCAUUGGCAACAAAUGUGAGUUUUGCAGAUCAAAGAAAUUAUAGUUUCACAACACAGUCCAGCUGCAAUAUUUACCAACACGGCAAUCAUUUUGAUUGGAUGAUUCAACUGAACCUGCACUAUCAAAGUUGAAAAAAAACCAGACGACAUCAGACUUCUCAUAUCUCCACCCUAUCAAUUCUACUUCCAUCUUCUUUCUCCUCCGUACUGAACUCUCCUCGUGAAAUAAUAUUCAUGAUGGUCUUGGUGGCUUGGCCAACAGCACGGGAAGUCUUCUUUGCGGCACCAGCAACAACGGGCUGCAGGGAAAUGAUUGGCAAGCUAGCCCUCUCUUGAAUCAUAGCUAGAUGUCAAAUAAUAGACAAAAACAUCAGUUCUGUAGAGAUCAAUAAAGAAUGACGGGAAAGAUAGUAGAAAGCACAGGAACUUACAAAUAGUAUGAUGGUGAGCAAGUGUCCCAAUCUGUCGAAGUCCAGCUUCUGCUGCUUGAACUGCUUGUGCUGAUUUAUUGACCCCAUCAGUUAUCUCUUGGCUGUAAUUCAAUUGUGAUAAACCAUAUUAUUGUACUUGGAAAGCAUCUGAAAAAAAUGAAAUUGUAUCCUUGGAGGCCACGAGACUUCAGAGCACAUCUUGUUAAGAUUUUAGUAUUCCUCGAGAAAUUUUAUGGUAAAGUAAUUAGUGAUAUCCUAUUAGUUAUUCUCUGAGAUUCAUUUUGAAGGAGACAGACACAAGGAAGGAGAAAGAAAUCAUAAAUGUAAAUAUUCUUAUCACUUUUGAUGGCUCAUGGAUUUUAUUUUCUCUCUUCCUUGUGUAUGUCUUUCUCUUCAAAGUGAGUUAAUGAGUUAAUAGAAUGCCUCUAGUUACUCCGUGUUCCAGUAUUUCUCUAGCUGUCAUCAGACAGGUUCACACACAAAUAGACAUAACUAAAGGACCUAUAUAUCCUCAUGGACCUUUGUCACUUUCCCCCCGCAUCAAUAUGUCACUGUCCCAAUUUCAAGGAGCAUCCUUUUAAUGGGUUAAGGAAAUCCAUGUUUCAAAGAGCAUCCUUUUACUGGGUUAAGGAAUCCAUGUUUUGUUUAUAAGACAUGACACAUGAAACUGAUGCAAGCAGACUCUUUCGCAUAUAAGCUUGUCUAAUGCAAAAUACUCUCAACCAGCAUUCAGACCACUGGAAAAGGAGAAGAAAAUAGGAAACAGAAUUGAUGAUAACCAAAGAGUUGCAGUUAGAGCUUGACUGUCACCUCAAAUCACUUAAUUCCAAUGUAAGAUCACUUAUUUCCAUGCCUGAAAGCCUAAUCGCAGCCAUUGUACUGGGCAGUUCCUCACGAGCAGUAUCUGCUAGCUUUGAAAGAGAUGUUGCCGCUCUCCCCACUGCCUGCCAACCAGAGAGGAAAAAAUAGAUGAAAAAGAACCAUUAUAGACCUUAAAUAAAAACACUAUAAAAAUUCAAUUGCAGACAAAAAUGUAUGGAGAUUCACAUUUCACUUUUUUUUUCACGGCAGUUAUUAUUAACAAGGAUAUCAUUUAAUAAAGAUACAGCUAGCAAAACAAUUGGUUGGAACCAAAUCUAGCAAAAAUCAUAAACAUGCCGUUAAAAAGAUAAAAACUGCUCUAAUCAAAGGAAGAACACACGGGAAUCAAUAGAAACCAUGUUGCUUCUCAAUGAAAACACUAUUCCUGCACGUUUUCUCAUCUUCAAAGCACAAGUGAAAGGCAAAGUCAACAGCUGAAGUUUAUUUAUAUCAUGAGUAAUUUAGCAACAACACCUUGUACAGAACAAUGUCGUUUGCAUCAAUUUUAACCACCAUCACGGUUGCUUUUUAUGUUAAAUAGGUCUAUUUAAUUAGAGGAAUUUAUCCUGAAUGUUUUUUCUUUAUCCAGAACAUUGCGCGUGUCAAGAGAAUAUAGGGAGAGGGAGGGACCCUCUGCUUUCAAGUUGUCUACAGGCUCAGAUGGAUUUGGACACUCAAGAUAAGAAGGUAGGGUCAUGUUCUUCGCCUUUGCAUGACUAAUUUGACAGCAGUGGUUCGUGGAAGAUGCUGCCAGCUGCAAUCAAUCAAUUAAUACAGUGAGGGAGGGACCCUCUACUUUCAAGUUGAAUGCAUCUCCCCAUCCCAAAACAUUACUGAAUUUUGUAAUUUUUCUUGUGUUCUAGGAAGAGUAAUUACGGAAAUUCAAUAUAUAUAGAUUAAUAAGUUGCUUCAUCUUUGAAUCUGUCCUAGGUUUAAUGUGAACAUAGGAUCGAGGGAGUUGGCUGGCUUCAUAUGCAGCAGACGACGAAAGGUCUAGCAUUAAUAUCCUUAGGUGAGACAGAUUGACAGUGAGAAAUUUAUGAUGUUCUAUUGCUAAAAAUAUAGUGAGAAAUUUACGAAAAAUGUAAAAUGAAAAAUCUGCAAAAAGUUGAACUAAAUACAAUAUGCCGACAGAGGCGGAUGAGUUGCUAUCAUUUAUUGAAGAUAGUAUAUUAUAAGCAAACAAGAUUACGGAUGUUAGGGUUCUUUUUUCUCUUCUUUAUUUCCUUAGCUCUUAAUUUUAAUUUUAACUUUUACUCUUAAAAUUAAAUAAAAUAUAAAUAAUAAACUAAUAAUAAACAAUAAAUUUCUAUAUUUUACUUUUUCAAAUUUUAAUAUUUAUUAAUUAUUAAAGAAUUAACUAUGAGAUUUAUUAUAUUUUUUAACAAUAGCAUGGUUUAUUAUUACAUUUUUUUCUGCCUCGUUUAAAUUCAUUUAUUUAUAUUCAUAAAUAAAGUGUAUGUACUGACACUACUUUCUUACAGGCUUGAACACACAAGAUAAGAAGGAAGGGUAAGAUGCUACCAGCUGCAAUCAAUCAAAGAGGGAGGGACCCUCUGUUUUGAAUUUGAAAUCGUAUCUCAUCACUCCAAAUGAAACACAUUUCACUUUAUCUUCAAAGAUUUUAUUUGUUUUUUAGGUAAUUUUUAUAGUUGUAAUUUAUAAAAAAGUAUAGUUGGAUUAAAUACAAAUGGUAUUAAGAAGAUAUAGUUAGUUGAAAUAAAAUGUUUGGUAUAAGUAUGGUUUUGAUUGUUUUUUAAAGUAUUUUUUAUUUAGAAAUACAUUAAAAUAAAUUUUUUUAUUUUUUAAAAUAUAUUUUUAAUAUCAGCACAUCAAAAUGAUUUGAAAACACAAAAAAUAUAUUAAUUUUUAAUGACACAACUAAACACUAGAAAAUAUUUUUUAAUUUAUUUUUCAUCAUACUAUUAAAUAUCAAAAAAUAAUUUAUUGAGAAAAAAGAGAAGGAAAGGGAAGGAAAGAAAAAAGAAAAGAUAUCAUCCACUAAGGGAAGCAAUGAAUGAUCUUUGCUUUUCCACACAGUAGUAUGUGUAUGUAUUGGCAGGUACAGGGCAAGGCAAUAUUAGUAUUUAAUGCGUCACGAUGUGUUUUAGGAAAUUUAUUGGUAUUUAAUUUUAAGAUAAUUAAAAUAAGUAUUUGUCAAAAAAUUGAUAAAUUAAUUUUACAGAAAAAAGUCAAAAUUCUCUUUUAUUAUUUAUUAUUUAUCUUGACAAAAACAUAUAUAUAUUUUAAUUAGCAACAUAGUUGUUUUAAUAAAUAAAAAACUUGAUGAUGUAAAUAAGUAUUCAAGAAUUUUUAAUUUUUGUAAAUUAAAAAGGAAAUACUAAAUGGUUGUUAAUAAAUUUAAUUUUUAUAUUAAUUUUGAUCUUUAUUUUUAUUUUGCUUUUCUUUUAUUAUUUUUUAUUUGAAAAUUUUUAUUUAUCAAAUAAACAAGACAAUGUAUGUCAUGAUAAAAUGCAAAGUUAACUAAUUUCAUUCGGCAAUUUAAAUUCUAUGUUUGUCUAAUUUCUUUAGGUUUACUAUUGUGAGGGUCCUGUCAGCUAAGAUCUUCUACAACAGUCAAUCACUUUUGAAAAUCAGCUGAAGGCUCGAAGUGUCUGUUUUGUGUAAUUUUCCUUGCCUUAAUUUCCUUGGCUAGCUGUGUGUGACGAUUUGUGAUCAAUAAAUUGAUAAGUUUUUGGUUGUUCUGAAUUAUUGGCUUGCCUCUUUAUUUUAUUCAACUUAUCUUUUAUUAUUUAUUUUUUUAUCUUGACAAAAACAUAUAUAUUUUUUAAAUUAGCAACAUAGUUGUUUUAUUAAAAAAACUUGGUAAUUUAAAUAAGUAUUCUUAAAUUUUUAAUUAUUUAAAUUAAAAGGGAAAUCCUGAAUGGUAGUUUAUAAAUUUGUUUUGCUCUUUGUUUUUUAGUCACUUUUUUUAUAUUUUGUUAUAUGCUUUCCACUUGUCCCGUCUUUCUUAACAUUUGUAGAUGGAGCGCAUGCGUGGUCCUUCUGCCUGAAGAGUAUACCAUUUGUAGAUGGAGCGCAUGCGUGGUCCUUCUGCCUGAAGAGUAUACCAGUGAGAGAUGAUUCGGUCAUUUACAAUUUUCUCACAAAUUAAUAAAGAUGAAAGCAUAGUUGUUAAGAUUUUAUUUUUACAAUCUUUUUGAUUUAUGAAUAUGCUUUCUUUUUUCUUGAUUUUUCAGUACCAUUUAGAAAUACUCAGUAAAUUAAUUUAAAUAUAGAAAAUCAAUAUAGAAGCAUUACAUUUUUAUAAAACAGAUAAUUUAGCCUGGUCUCAAAGAGUUUUAAAAUUCUCCCUUGAUCUAUUAAGUGUAGAUUUUCUUAAAACCUCAACCCCAGUUUUUAUGGGAACACAUAAAUAAAAAGACUCCCAAAAUCUCUUUUCAAAUCAAGUAAAGGAUUAGAAGAGCUGUCAAAUCUAUUGUGGAUUGGGUGCUUGAAAUUUCUUCAAACUUUAGUCAUCUUUAAUUGUGAAAAUCUAGAAAAUUUGGUCUUAGAAGCACUAUUAUUAAACCCGGCCCGGGUUUAAUAAAAGACCGGCUGUGACAACCGGCCAAACCCGGGUGACCUGGCUGGUCGACCUGGGACCCGAGCGAACCCAGACGAGACCUGUUUUUUUUUUUUUUUUUCAAAUGUGGGAUAAAAAAAUUUUUGGUUUAAAUAUUUCAACUUAAAAUGACAACAUAGUAUUUGAAACCCAUUAGUAUAUAUACUCUAUGUUCCCAAGGAAAAAAUCAUGUUUUUUCAAUGUGGUAUAAAAAACCUUUUGGUUUAAAUACUUCAACUUAAAAGGAUAACAUAAUAUCUUUUUCAAUGUGGGAUUUGAAGCCCUUUCAUAUAUAUAUAUUCUAUGUUCCCAUAAAAAAGUUAUGUUUUUUCAAUGUGGGAUUUGAAACCCAUUAGUAUAUAUACUCUAUGUUUCCAAGGAAAAAACCAUGUUUUUUCAAUGUGGGAUAAAAAAUCUUUUGGUUUAAAUACUUUAAGUUAACAUAGUAUCUUUUCAAUGUGGGAUUUGAAGCCCUUUCAUAUAUAUACUCUAUGUUCCCAUGAAAAAAGUUAUAUUUUUUCAAUGUGAGAUUUGAAUCCUAUUAGUAUAUAUACUCUAUGUUUCCAAGGAAAAAGUUAUGUUUUUUCAAUGUAGGAUAAAAAUCUUUUUUAAAUAUUUUUUGAAAUUUCAUUAUUUAUAAUAUAUAUAAUCUAUAUUUACAUUGAUUUUUUCAUAUAAAAUAUUAAAACUUUAAUUUGUUUUUAAUUUUCUCGGGUUAAUCUGAGUUGACUCGGGUUGACCCAUGAAACCCGAGACUUUGUCCCUUGGCCGGGUCAAUCCCCGAGCCGGGUUUAAUAACUAUACUUAGAAGUCUUCGGAUAUUGGUUAUUGGUGGAUGUAGUAGCUUGAUUUCUUUUCCAGGAAGCAUAAGAUGCCUACCUACUCUGGAAGAUUUUUGUAUUAUUGAAGGUAAAAAGCUUGAUUUAAUAAUAAUAGAAGAAGAGAAAAUCCAACCACUUUCCCUUCGUAUUGUAAUAUUUGAAGAGUUACUAAUAACUUUUGCUUUACUACAAUCUCUACAAACAUUUAUCAUUAAAUAGUGUCCAAACAUAUCCCUAAAAUCAAGCUUAACAAUGAUAACAGUGGUGAAGGGUUAUGAGGAUUUAAAUCUAUUAUAUUUAGUUUCGCAUUUUUAUCCACUCUUCAAUUCCUUUUAUUUCACUUAAAUUAUUUUCCCUGAAAAAAAAUGCAAUGUUUAUUUGGCAAAACCUUUUUUGUUUUGGAGGGGCAAGUUCAAGUGGAACUUCAUUAGAUUUAACUAGAGGAAAAGAACAAGACAAGGCAUGUCAUGAUAAAAUGCAAAGCUAACUAAUUUCAUUCAACAAUUUAAAUUUCUUUGAACUUAAUACAUCAUUAUUAAAUUCUAUGUUUGUCUAAUUUCUUCAGGUUUACUACAAUGAGGGUCAUGUCGGCUAAAAUCUUUUACAACAAUCAGUCACUUCCAAAGAUCAGCUUAAGGCUUGGAGUGUCUGCUUUGUGUAAUUUCCCCUGCCUUAAUUUCCUUGGCUAGUUGUGUGUGAUGAUUUAUCAAUAAUAAAUUGAUAAACUUUUGGUUGCUCUGAAUUAUUAGCUUGCCUCUUUCUUCUAUUCAACUUAUCUUAUUUAAAAUAAUUGUGUGAUCAUUUAAAUAAUUAUGUUUAACAUAUAAAUUCAUCCUUCUAAACAAACUAAAAAACUGAAGUUCGGAGGAGAAGUAGCAAUUAUGCCACUUGUUUCAAAUAAUACAACAGUCAUCAAGAACUUCAAACUUACUGAAAUGUCUCAUUCAUGAGUUUCAAAGAUCUUAAAGAAGAGACAUCCAUUUCCGCACCCUUCAAGAACAUCUACCCUUUCUUUAUAUCGGUGGCUACAAAUCUAGUGAUAAAUUUACGAAAAAUGUGCAAGAGGUUGUUCUAAAUACAUACAAAGCUGACAGAGGCGAAUGUCGAAUUUUCUCAGCCAUGGCAUGACAAAUUGACAGCGGUAGUUCGAGGAAGAAGCUGCCAACAACCAUCAAUCAAUUAGUAUAGGGAGGAAGGGACCCUCAUGCAACUAUGCUCUAAAGUUGAAUGUAUCACAUCAUUCCAAAACACACUUUGAUUCAUCUUUUAAUAUUUCACACCAUACUUCUCUUUCUCUUGUGCUCCAAAUUUCUUUUUUGCUACAAAAGAAUCUGUUUUUUUUUUGGGUAAUUUGUGCUUUUUUCUUUAUAUCUUGUUAGUACUUCAUAACUAUGAAUUUGUAUUAACUCUUGUAUUAAGACAAUUAAAUUAUUAUGAAGUUAGUUUUGUUGUUACUGUUGCGUUGAAUUCUGAUUGACUUAUUUGAAGGAUAAGUUUGUAUGUAAGUUUGGGUUCGCAUAGGUAUGAAAAUUUUUAUUGUUUUUAAUUUCACCUAUCAAUCUAAGUUUAUAGUGUAAAACUAUUUUUUAUUUUAAUCUUUUUUCUUUUGAUUUUUUUUUUGUUUUGUUAAUAUUUUUUAUUCUUUUUAAUUUAACUUUCAAAUUUAAAACAUGUUGUUGCCCUUAGAUUUAUUUUUUAUUGCACUUUUAAUCCUUAUUAUUUUUAUUGUAUUUUUUUUAUUUUGAAUUUUUUUGUAUUGUUAAUUUAUAUAAGCUUAAGUCUCAUAACUUUUUCAUAUAUAAUAUUUUCGGUUUUAUAACUCGGAUUACGGUUUAAAAAAUUAACAAUAAUUAACUAUUUUUGUCUUAUGCUUUUGAGAUUCAAAAAAAAUAAAUAUAUAUAUAUAUAUAUAUAUAUUAAAAAAAAAAUUUAUAACUUUUUUAUUCUCAUUUCAUUUAUACUUUGUUAGCAAAUAAUUUCAGAUGUAAGUUCAAGAACAUGGAUCGUCAUGUUGAGACAAACCCAUAGGACCAAAUCCCAGGCAAAAGAAAGUUACAGCAAAGAAUAAAGAGGGGAGCACCAAAUUAAUGACAAUUGAAUGGCAAUCACUGUAUCAAAUGGCAUUGUUCUACUUUUGUGGGAACCGACAGAUUAAUUUGGAUCUGCAGAGAUUUGAGAGAUCUUACCUUUUUAUCUGAAGACAUUGUAGCAUGGCAUGUCUGGCGCUGCACUGAAAACGACAGUUUUAGGAUUUACCACAGCAUGAAAAGCUUCCAGAGGGACACAUGAGCUCUUAAGCACUUGGCAGCAUAUUUUCUGAUAGCAUUUUUGAAAAAAAUUAAAAUAUUUUUGGCAACUAGUUUUUAUUUUUUAACUAAGUCAGUAUAUACUCUAACAACGUGAUGGAUUAUGUUAUUUCUAAUUUAGUUUCCGCUAAAACAUUUCGUCUACAGUAUAUACCCAACUUUAAGGGCAGAAAAGUUUGAGAAAUCAAACUUAUUGCUUGGAUGGUGAAGAUUUUUUCCAAGGAUAAACAAAUUCUGAUUUGCUGAGAAUAAUAGUGGCUGCUGAGAAUGAUAGAGCCAGUUUGAUCCUAAUAUAUAGCAAUUUUAUUCAAGUGUAAAUUGCAGUGCUGAUGUGAUCUGAGCAAGGCAUUACAGCCUCUCUAUUAAGUUUUUCUCCAUUAUAUAAGAUUUGCAUGCACAAGACGAAAAUAGCAACUUAAUUAGUUGUGGUAAAUUCAACAGCCUCUACAAACUCAUUCCAACCUCAAAGUCGAUUUUAAUUCGUCCAGAAAGUUUUAGAAACUUCAACAAGUCUUGAAAACUAAACUAUUUUUAACACAACCCUGCAAGAACAAAAAUAAAGAUAGCAAGCAAACCCUGAGUCUAUUUUUAUCCAGCUUGGAGAUUUAAAAAAAAAGCAAUGAAACAGACUCAUACAUUGCUGGCUGCGUUGCAUUGGUUGUUAUCCAUGGCUGAGAAGGAAAGAAAGAGCAUCAAAUCUAAUCAAAGGAAGAACACACGGGAAUCAAUAGAAACCAUGUUGCUUCUCAAUGAAAAGACUAUUCCUGCACGUUUUCUCAUCUUCAAAGCAAAAGUGAAAGGCAAAGUCAACAGCUGAAGUUUAUUUAUAUCAUGAGUAAUUUAGCAACAACACCUUGUACAGAACAAUGUCGUUUGCAUCAAUUUUAACCACCAUCACGGUUGAUUUUUAUGUUAAAUAGGUCUAUUUAAUUAGAGGAAUUUAUCCUGAAUGUUUUUUCUUUAUCCAGAACAUUGCGCGUGUCAAGAGAAUAUAGGGAGAGGGAGGGACCCUCUGCUUUCAAGUUGUCUACUGGCUCACAUGGAUUUGGACACUCAAGAUAAGAAGGUAGGGUCAUGUUCUUCGCCUUUGCAUGACUAAUCUGACAGCAGUGGUUCGUGGAAGAUGCUGCCAGCUGCAAUCAAUCAAUUAAUACAGUGAGGGAGGGACCCUCUGCUUUCAAGUUGAAUGCAUCUCCCCAUCCCAAAACAUUACGGAAUUUUGUAAUUUUUCUUGUGAGUUAUUGUGUUCUAGAAAGAGUAAUUACGGAAAUUCAAUAUAUAUAGAUUAAUAAGUUGCUUCAUCUUUGAAUCUGUCCUAGGUUUAAUGUGAACAUAGGAUCGAGGGAGUUGGCUGGCUUCAUAUGCAGCAGACGACGAAAGGUCUAGCAUUAAUAUCCUUAGGUGAGACAGAUUGACAGUGAGAAAUUUAUGAUGUUCUAUUGCUAAAAAUCUAGUGAGAAAUUUACGAAAAAUGUAAAAUGAAAAAUCUGCAAAAAGUUGAACUAAAUUCUAUGUUUGUCUAAUUUCUUCAGGUUUACUACAAUGAGGGUCCUGUCGGCUAAGAUCUUAUACAACAGUAAGCCAAUUCCAAAGAUCAGCUUAAGGCUCGGAGUGUCUGCUUUGUGUAAUUUCCCCUGCUUUAAUUUCUUUGGCUAGCUGUAUGUGACGAUUUAUCAAUAAUAAAUUGAUAAACUUUUGGUUGCUCUGAAUUAUUGGUUUGCCUCUUUCUUCUAUUCAACUUAUCUUAUUUAAAAUAAUUGUGUGAUCAUUUAAAUAAUUAUGUUUAACAUAUAAAUUCAUCCUUCUAAACAAACUAAAAAACUGAAGUUCGGAGGAGAAGUAGCAAUUAUGCUACUUGUUUCAAAUAAUACAACAGUCAUCAAGAACUUCAAACUUACUGCAAUGUCUCAUUCAUGAGUUUCAAAGAUCUUAAAGAAGAGACAUCCAUUUCCGCACCCUUCAAGAACAUCUACCCUCUUUUUAUAUCGGUGGCUACAAAUCUAGUGAUAAAUUUACGAAAAAUAUGCAAGAAGUUGUUCUAAAUACAUACAAAGCUGACAGAGGCGAAUGUGGAUUUUUCUCAGCCAUGGCAUGACAAAUUGACAGCGGUAGUUCGAGGAAGAAGCUGCCAACAACCAUCAAUCAAUUAGUAUAGGGAGGAAGGGACCCUCAUGCAACUAUGCUCUAAAGUUGAAUGUAUCACAUCAUUCCAAAACACACUUUGAUUCAUCUUUUAAUAUUUCACACCAUACUUCUCUUUCUCUUGUGCUCAAAAUUUCUUUUUUGCUGCAAAAGAAUUUGUUUUUUUGGGUAAUUUGUGUUUUUUUCUUUAUGUCUUGUUAGUACUUCAUAACUAUGAAUUUGUAUUUACUCUUGUAUUAAGACAAUUAAAUUAUUAUGAAGUUAGUUUUAUUGUUACUGUUGCGUUGAACUCUGAUUGACUUAUUUGAAGGAUAAGUUUGUAUGUAAGUUUGGGUUCGUAUAGGUAUAAAACUUUGAACGAGAACCUUAUCUAUGUGCUGGUCAUGAAUUCACAAAUCGAGUAGUGAUAUUUUUUAUAAAAUUUUUAUUGUUUUUAAUUUCACCUAUCAAUCUAAGUUUAUAGUGUAAUACUAUUUUUUAUUUUAAUCUUCUUUCUUUUGAUUUUUUUUUUUCGUUUUGUUAAUAUUUUUUAUUUUUUUUAAUUUAACUUUCAAAUUUAAAACAUGUUGUUGCCCUUAGAUUUAUUUUUUAUUGCACUUUUAAUCCUUAUUAUUUUUAUUUUGAAUUUUUUUGUAUUGUUAAUUUAUAUAAGCUUAACCCUCAUAACUUUUUCAUAUAUAAUACUUUUGGUUUUAUAUCUCGGAUUACGGUUUAAAAAAUUAACAAUAAUUAACUAUUUUUGUCUUAUGCUUCUGAGAUUAAAAAAUAUAUAUAUAUAUAUAUAUAUUAAAAAAAAAUUAUAACUUUUUUAUUCUCAUUUCAUUUAUACUUUGUUAGCAAAUAAUUUCAGAUGUAAGUUCAAGAACAUGGAUCGUCAUGUUGAGACAAACCCAUAGGACCAAAUCCCAGGCAAAAGAAAGUUACAGCAAAGAAUAAAGAGGGGAGCACCAAAUUAAUGACAAUUGAAUGGCAAUCACUGUAUCAAAUGGCAUUGUUCUACUUUUGUGGGAACCGACAGAUUAAUUUGGAUCUGCAGAGAUUUGAGAGAUCUUACCUUUUUAUCUGAAGACAUUGUAGCAUGGCAUGUCUGGCUCUGCACUGAAAACGACAGUUUUAGGAUUUACCACAGCAUGAAAAGCUUCCAGAGGGACACAUGAGCUCUUAAGCACUUGGCAGCAUAUUUUCUGAUAGCAUUUUUGAAAAAAAUUAAAAUAUUUUUGGCAACUAGAUUUUUUUUUUUUCACGGCAGUUAUUAUUAACAAGGAUAUCAUUUAAUAAAGAUACAGCUAGCAAAACAAUUGGUUGGAACCAAAUCUAGCAAAAAUCAUAAACAUGCCGUUAAAAAGAUAAAAACUGCUCUAAUCAAAGGAAGAACACACGGGAAUCAAUAGAAACCAUGUUGCUUCUCAAUGAAAAGACUAUUCCUGCACGUUUUCUCAUCUUCAAAGCAAAAGUGAAAGGCAAAGUCAACAGCUGAAGUUUAU